UUUUGUGGCCAAACCUCCUCGUCAAAGCCUCAUCUCAUCAGAUCUCAGAAGCUAAGUAGGACUGGGCCUGGUUAGUACUUGGAUGGGACACUUCUGGGAAUACCAGGUGUGACAGUGG
rnacentral:rRNA from 1 species